GACGAACGCUGGCGGCGUGCUUAACACAUGCAAGUCGAACGGAAAGGCCCUGCUUUUGUGGGGUGCUCGAGUGGCGAACGGGUGAGUAACACGUGAGUAACCUGCCCUUGACUUUGGGAUAACUUCAGGAAACUGGGGCUAAUACCGGAUAGGAGCUCCUGCUGCAUGGUGGGGGUUGGAAAGUUUCGGCGGUUGGGGACGGACUCGCGGCUUAUCAGCUUGUUGGUGGGGUAGUGGCUUACCAAGGCUUUGACGGGUAGCCGGCCUGAGAGGGUGACCGGCCACAUUGGGACUGAGAUACGGCCCAGACUCCUACGGGAGGCAGCAGUGGGGAAUAUUGCACAAUGGGCGGAAGCCUGAUGCAGCAACGCCGCGUGCGGGAUGACGGCCUUCGGGUUGUAAACCGCUUUCGCCUGUGACGAAGCGUGAGUGACGGUAAUGGGUAAAGAAGCACCGGCGAACUACGU
rnacentral:rRNA from 1 species